CCGGUGCAGGUCCUUGGUAUGCUGAGCGCCGUUCCCCUGGGCCCACUGUUGUUUCUCUAUACUUUGUCUCUGUGUCUUAUUUCUUUUCUCAGUCUCUCGUCCCACCCAACUAGAAAUACCCACAGUUGUGGAGGGGAAAGUCACCCCUUCACUUUUCUUUUCUUUUCUUUCUUUUUCCUUCCUUCCUUUUUCUUUCUUUUCUUUCUUUUUUUUUUUUUUUGACGGAGUCUUGUUCUGUCACCCAGGCUGGAGUGCAAUGGCGCUAUCUCGGCUCACUGCAACCUCCACCUCCCAGGUUCAAGCAAUCCUCUUGCCUCAGCCUCCCGAGUAUCUGGGAUUACAGGCGUGUGCCACCACGCCCAGCUAGUUUUUGUAUUAUUAGUAGAGAUGGGGUUUCACCAUGUUGGCCAGGCUGGUCUCGAACUCCUGAUCUCAGGUGAUCCACCUGCCUCAGCCUCCCAAAGUGCUGGGAUUACAGGCCUGAGCCACCGUGCCCGGCCCAGAACAAUUUUCAUAUAAUCUAUUGACUUGCCUGCCCUAAGACAAAGGCCGUUGUUUUGAGGUAGCCUUAGUUUACUUUCCAAGUUCCAUCUGCUUUUCCACUGGAGUUCAGAGGUCUUUCAUGGCCAGCCCAUUCUGCCAUCCAUGACCUUUGAUGGAGCCUGUUCUCAGCUCAAGGCAAUCUCCAGAAACUGAAGAACAUGACCUUUCUAAAUGCAAUGUCCUUAGCGUGAAUGUCUCCACAAAACUUUUGCACUGACCUGACAAAUGCAUCCUUUCAAGUGCAGUAGAAGUCCAUGCAUCCUGGCAAAACUGAAGUGUAAGCAUACCCCAUGAAGUAUGAAUGUACCCUACAAAGUGCAAGCAUAUCCCGCAAAUGGGUACCUUGUGGAGCCAGAUGAACAGGCUUCCUGAAGAAAAUUAAGUCUGUGAGACCUUAGCCAAAGCAUGGGAAUUCAAGAGGACUUACUGAAGGCCACCCCCCUACUCACCUCCCAUCCUGAAGACAACUGAGGCCAAGAAGACAACUGAGUCCAAGGGGCUCUUGCAGGCCCUAAUGUAUUGGUUUAGGAUGAUGCAGGGAGGAGAGUUGUAGUUUGCUUCAAAUCCCACUUCUGAUGCCAAGAAUGUGAAUGAAAGUUCUCUGAAAAAGGGAGUGCCAGGGUGGUCCCAUGGGCCUCCUCUGGCAGUGCUGGGCUUGAGGGCCUGAGCAAGGCACUGCCCUCACGGAGCGGCCAGGCUCUCCUUAGGGAUGGCUUUGGGCGGAAGCUCUUGAGAACUCCUCUCAAUCUGGCUUGGGGCUUGCCCUCACUCUCCUCAUCUCCUGCCUCUGUCCCAGUCACAGCCCUGUGCCUGCCACGGAGAAGACGGAGCUGAUCCUAGAAGGCCAAGCUGGCUGAGCUGGCCAGAUGGUACGACUACAUCACUACCUGGGUGAAGGCUGUGACAGAGCAGGGCACCAAGCUGUUCAAUGAGGAGCUCAACCUGCUUUCAGUGGCCUACACAUACAUGGUCAGGGGAUCACAGGUCUGCCUAGAGGGUCACCUUGAGCAUUGAGCAGAAAACUGUUACCUCCGACAAGAAGUUGCAGCUGAUUAAGGGCUAUCAGGAGAAAGUAGAGUCUGAGCUGAGAUCCAUCUGUACCACAGUCCUGGAAUUGCUGGAUGAGUAUUUAAUAGCUGAUGCAACUAAUCCAGAGAGUAAGGUCUUCUAAUUGAAAAUGAAGGGAGAUUACUUCCUGUACCUUGCCGAAGUUGCAAGUGGUGAUGAUUGAAAACAAGAUAGAUAAUUCCCAAGGAGCUUACCAAGAAGUAUUUGAUAUAAGCAAGAAAGAGAGUCAACUCACCCACCCAAUCUACCUGGGGCUUGCUCUUAACUUUUCUGUAUUUUACUGUGAGACCCUUAAUAAUGCAGAGCUCACCUGCAUGCUGAAUAAAACAGAUACACUGCAGAACUUGAUACACGGAAUGAAGAUUCAUACAAAGACAGCACCCUUAUCUGCUUAGAGACAACCUAACACUAUGGAUAUCAGACAGUGCAAGGAAGAAUGUGAUGCAGUAGAAGGGGCUGAAAACUAAAUGCAUAAAGAGUGUCAUCCUUCCUCCCUUCAAGAAACCUUUUUAUGCAUCUCCUUUCCUUAUUCCACUUGAAUUUCCUAUAGCAAAGAAACCCAUUCAUGUGCUUGGAAUUAACUGUUUAUAGCUUUUUCACACUGCAUCUUUGGGAAAAUGCCAUUCCCUGAUUUGUGUUUGUCUUGGCCUUCCUGAUGUGCAGUUACUGCUGUAGAAAAGCAUUCAUAGCUUAAUUUCAUAUAAACUUAAGUACCUUCCAAAUGCUUAUGUAGAGGACUAAAAAAUGUAUCUGGUAUUUAAGUAAUCUGAACCAGUUUUGCAAAUGACUGUGUUUUGUAUUACUGUGGAGAUAUAAAAAUGUAGUUAAUUAUAAUUUAAAGAAUGUUCUGCCAAGACCAGCUCAGUUGUGGAGACCCUAACCCAGAGGUGCUAGAGGAAUUAAAGACACGCACACAGAAAUAUAGUGUGUGGAGUGGGAAAUCAGGGGACUGACAGCCUUCAGAGCUGAGAGCCAUGAACAGAGAUUUACCCACAUAUUUAUUGACAGCAAGCCAGUGAUAAACAUUGUUUCUAUAGAAUAUAGAUUAACUAAAAGUAUUCCUUAUGGGAAACAAAAGGGAUGGGCUGAAACAAAGGGAUGGGCUCUGGCAAGUUAUCUGCAGCAGAAACAUGUCCUUAAGGCACAGAUUUCUCAUGCUAUUGUUUGUGGUUCAGGAAUGCCUUUAAGCAGUUUUCUGCCCUGAGUGGGCCAGGUGUUCCUUGCCCUCAUUCUGGUAAACCCACGGCCUUCAGCGUGGGCAUUAUGGCCAUCACGAACAUGUCACAGUGCUGCAGAGAUUUUGUUUAUGGCCAGUUUUGGGGCCAGUUUAUGGCCAGAUUUGGGGGCCUAUCCCCAGCAGUGUUCGAUGUAACGUCUUAAUUUCUACAUUCCCUCCCUUACUCUUUGGGGGUUUCUUCUCAAUAAUCAACUUUUCCAUGCUCUUAAUGUAUUCUUUUUAGUAGAAAUCCAGAAAUAUCAGAUUGAAUGGAAAAGCGCUUGCCAUUUCUGGGUUGAGGUGUCACAAAUUGAAAUGUCUCCUAUAUCACAUAUUAUGGAGGUCAUGUGAAUCUGUGGAAAGAGUAAAUAAGAGUUUCCUUAUUCACUCUUCAUAUGCUGCUGUUUAAGUUGGCAGCUUUCCUUCCCAAUAAAAAUUCAUUUACACUUCCUGCCUUUAUAGUUCUGGUAUCUACUUUACUAUGUAAUAGAAGUAGCAUGUUGCUGCCAGAAUACUAGCAUUUCUUUUGGCAAACUGAAGUACAUGUCACUUCUUAACACACUAGAAAGGGGAAACAAAGCACACAAGUCCAAGUCUAAAACUUUAGUACAUUUCUAUGCAGAUUUGUGUAUAUGUAAGGAGGUGUCCUGUUUGUCUAGUGAUUGUUAUUUAGUUGGACAACUAUUGUGUGUUGCUCGUCAUUGACUGAAGUCCCAAAAAAGUCUUGUGAAAAUGUUAUGCCCUAUGUAACAGCAGAAUAACAUAAAAUAAAAUUACAUUAAAAGUGAUGGCAGAACCACAAUUACUAUUGCACCAACCUAAUAUAAACCAUUUACUAUGGCUUUGUAACAAUUGCAUAUUCCUAUAUUAAGGGACAGGUGAAUUUACUACUUUCUAAAGUUUAUUGAUAAUUCCCUUUUGUGUAAAAUGUGGUAGUGAUACCUAUAUUUCUGCAUCAUGAUAUACUUGUCUAGGGAUGCCUGGACAUGUAUAAGAUUGGACUGCAUUUCUUAGAAUGUUUUACUAUAGAUCAGUCUCCUGGGCUAUCUCUUCCUCAGACAUAAAUGAUAUCUGGUUAAGUGUUAUGUGAAAUAAAGUGAACAUUUUAAAACUUU
ensembl:lncRNA novel transcript